UUGGGUUGGGGGGCAUGGGGAUGCUAUACUGCAGUCAAAAGCGCACGAAAUCAUCACUACCCUUCUUGGGGACGUCGAUGGAAUGAGCGGCGGACGGGGGAUUAACUCGCUAAGAAACCUGCCCUCAAGUCUGGAAUAACCACGCAAAAAUCGGAGCUAAUACCGGGAUAGGUUUCGUCUCACCGCAUGGUCAAAGAAAUACAGGCGCUUCUGCAUCCCCUGGCGAUGGCCUCGCCGCGCAUUAACGAGUUGGGGGAGUAACGCCCCAACAAGGCGACGAUGCAUACCCCGACCUCAGACGCUGAUCGCCCCCACAUGCGACUGAGACUCCGACCCAGACUCCUACGGGAGGAAGCAGUCAGGGAAGCUUCCACAAUCGGACGAAAGUCUGAUGGAGCAACGCCGCGUGAACGUAUGAAGGCCUUCCGCUCGUAAAGUUCUGUUGAAAGGGAAGAACUAAGUGCCGCACGCAAUGGCGGCACCUUGACGGAACCUAGCGAGAAAGCCACGUGCUAACUACCUGCCAGCAGCCGCGGUAAUACGGAGGUGGCAAGCGUUGUCCGGAAUUAUUGGGCGUAAAGCGCGCGCAGGCGGCCUCUUAAAUCUGAUGUGAAACCCCCCGGCUCAACCGGGGAGGACCAUUGGAAACUGGGAGGCUUGAGUAUAGGAGAGAUACAGUGGAAUUCCACGUGUAGCGGUGAAAUGCGUAGAAAUGUGGAGGAACACCAGCUAGCGAAGGCGACUCUUUGACCUAUAACUGACGCUGAGGCGCGAAAGCGUGGGGAGCAAACACGAUGAGAUACCCUGGCAGUCCACACCGUAAUACGAUGAGUGCUAGGUGUCGGACGGUUUCCGCCCUUCAGUGCUGAAGCUAACGCAUUAAGCACUCCACCUGCGGAGUACGGUCGCAAGGCUGAAACUCAAAGGAAUUGACGGGGACCCGCACAAGCGGUGGAGCAUGUGAUUUAAUUCGAAGCAACGCGAAGAACCUUACCAACUCUUGACAUCCCCCUGACCGGUACAGAGACGUACUUUCCCCUUCGGAGGCAGGGGUGACAGGUGGUGCAUGCUUGUCGUCAGCUCGUGUCGUGAGAAGUCGGGUUAAGUCCCGCAACGAGCGCAACCCUUGUCCUUAGUUGCCACCAUCCAGUAGGGCACUCCAAGGAGACUGCCGAUGACAAACCGGAGGAAGGUGGGGAUGACGUCAAAUCAUCAUGCCCCUUAUGAGAUGGGCUACACACGUGCUACAAGGGACGGUACAAAGGGCAGCGAAGCCGCGAGCUGAAGCCAAUCCCAGAAAGCCGUUCUCAGUUCGGAUUGCAGUCUGCAUACUCGCCUGCAUGAAAUCGGAAUCAAUAGUAAUCACAGGUCAGCAUACUGCGGUGAAUACGUUCCCGGGUCUUGUACACACCGCCCGUCACACCACGAGACUUUGUAACACCCGAAGUCGGUGAGGUAACUCUAGGGAGCCAGCCGCCGAAUGGUGUUCAAAUAUGG
rnacentral:rRNA from 1 species